rnacentral:rRNA from 1 species
AACACUCGUGGCGAAUACCCCGGGAACUGGGGACAAUUUCUGAUAGGUGAAGGCUCCUGGAAUGGACUUUCGCUCAAAGGACGUUCAAGCCAUGCUUUUGGACGUCGCCCAAGGAUUGGGCCGCGGCCGAUCAGGUUGUUGGUGAGGUAAUGGCUCACCAAGCCUUUAACCGGUACGGGCCGUGAGAGCGGUAGCCCGGAGAUGGGUACUGAGAUAAGAACCCAGGCCCUACGGGGCGCAGCAGUCGCGAAACCUUCACAAUAAGCGAAAGCUUGAUGGGGCUAUCCCGAGUGCCAUCUGCUGAGGAUGGCUUUUACCCAGUGUAGAUAGCUGGGGGAAUAAGGAGAGGGCAAGUCUGGUGUCAGCCGCCGCGGUAAUACCAGCUCUCCGAGUGGUGGGGAUGCUUAUUGGGCCUAAAGCAUCCGUAGCCGGCUGGGCAAGUCCCCUGUUAAAUCCAACGAUUUAAUCGCUGGCCUGCGGGGGAUACUAUCCGGCUAGGGGGCGAGAGAGGCCGUCGGUAUUCUUGGGGUAGGGGUGAAAUCCUAUAAUCCCAGGAGGACCACCAGUGGCGAAGGCUGCCGGCUAGAACGCGCCCGACGGUGAGGGAUGAAAGCUGGGGGAGCGAACCGGAUUAGAUACCCGGGUAGUCCCAGCCGUAAACGAUGCAGGCUAGGUGUUAGGGCGGCUACGUGCCGCUCUAGUGCCGCAGGGAAGCUGAUAAGCCUGCCGCCUGGGGAGUACGGCUGCAAGGCUGAAACUUAAAGGAAUUGGCGGGGGAGCAC